GGCGAACGGGUGAGUAAUGCAUCGGAACGUGCUCAAUCGUGGGGGAUAACGCAGCGAAAGCUGUGCUAAUACCGCAUACGAUCUACGGAUGAAAGCGGGGGACCUUCGGGCCUCGCGCGAAUGGAGCGGCCGAUGUUAGAUUAGGUAGUUGGUGGGGUAAAGGCUCACCAAGCCGACGAUCUAUAGCUGGUCUGAGAGGACGACCAGCCACACUGGAACUGAGACACGGUCCAGACUCCUACGGGAGGCAGCAGUGGGGAAUUUUGGACAAUGGGCGAAAGCCUGAUCCAGCAAUACCGCGUGCAGGAAGAAGGCCUUCGGGUUGUAAACUGCUUUUGUACGGAACGAAAAGGCUCUUUCUAAUAAAGAGGGCUCAUGACGGUACCGUAAGAAUAAGCACCGGCUAACUACGUGCCAGCAGCCGCGGUAAUACGUAGGGUGCGAGCGUUAAUCGGAAUUACUGGGCGUAAAGCGUGC
rnacentral:rRNA from 1 species